CAGUCGCGCGGUAAUACAGAGGGUGCGAGCGUUAAUCGGUUUUACUGGGCGUAAAGCGUGCGUAGGCGGCUUUUUAAGUCGGAUGUGAAAUCCCUGGGCUCAACCUGGGAAUUGCAGUGGAUACUGGGUCACUAGAGUGUGGUAGAGGAUAGUGGAAUUUCCGGUGUAGCAGUGAAAUGCGUAGAGAUCGGAAGGAACAUCUGUGGCGAAGGCGACUAUCUGGGCCAACACUGACACUGAGGCACGAAAGCGUGGGGAGCAAACAGGAUUAGAUACCCCGGUAGUCCCUGUCUCUUAUACA
rnacentral:rRNA from 1 species